UACGUAGGGGGCAAGCGUUGUCCGGAUUUAUUGGGCGUAAAGAGCUCGUAGGCGGUCUGUCGCAUCGGCUGUGAAAACUCGGGGCUCAACUCCGAGCUUGCAGUCGAUACGGGCAGGCUAGAGUUCGGCAGGGGAGACUGGAAUUCCUGGUGUAGCGGUGAAAUGCGCAGAUAUCAGGAGGAACACCGGUGGCGAAGGCGGGUCUCUGGGCCGAUACUGACGCUGAGGAGCGAAAGCGUGGGGAGCGAACAGG
rnacentral:rRNA from 1 species